UAUGGGGAGGAGGAGGGAAGCGGCUGAGCAGGGCAAGAGCAAAAGUCCACUGCCUGGCAAGGACAGCCUAGACACGGGGGAAAGAAGGGACAUGGAGGGGCUGAGCCCUGUCACACGUCAUGCCCUGCAUGCCGGGCUGGACAUGGAGAAGCUGAGCGUGCAGUCUGGGGCUGAGGCUGGGAAGCCCUGAUACAUGGCUUAGAAUGAGCUAUGCCCAGGACCUGCCCCAGGUCUCCGUGGUCUUCAUCUUCGUCAAUGAGGCGCUGUCGGUCAUCCUGCGCUCCGUGCACAGCGUGGUCAACCACACGCCCUCCCAGCUCCUCAAGGAGGUCAUCCUGGUGGACGACAACAGUGACAACGUGGAGCUCAAGUUCAAUCUGGACCAGUACGUCAACAAGCGGUACCCAGGCCUCGUGAAGAUUGUCCGCAACAGCCGGCGGGAAGGACUGAUCCGCGCGCGGCUGCAGGGCUGGAAGGCGGCCACCGCCCCAGUCGUCGGCUUCUUUGAUGCCCACGUCGAGUUCAACACGGGCUGGGCCGAGCCCGCACUGUCGCGGAUCCGAGAGGACCG
rnacentral:sRNA from 1 species